AAAAAACCCAAAACCCCUUCCCUUCUCUUUCACUUUCACGUGGAUUUCAAACCCUCAAGAACUCCCUCCCUCUCGCUGCCGUCCACCUCCUGCUCUCCUCACCGUCGACCUUGCGGUUGCCCAGCCGCCGCCGCAUCACCACCGCGCCGAGCAUUCGUAGCCUGGCUGUAACCGCCGCCCUGCGCCCUCGCCGUCCACCUUGCGCGCCACCGCAGGUAGCACCACCGUGUGCCGCCGUCGCUCAGCCCUGCCGCAAGCCACCUCUGUCCGUCGGCCAACUCUCUCUCCUCCUCCUUGAAUUGGUGGAGAAUUCUCUUUAGGCGACUUUUGAAAGUGUUAAAGUGGCCUAUCAGUUUGUUUACACAAGUCUCUAGGGAUCAAUAAGCAUCGUCCAUUACAGGUUUGAAGGUGAUGCAUCAUGGGGUUCGGGAUCGAAGAGCGGUGUAGUUAUUAAAUUGUUUUGUUUUAAGUUUGAUGUUGAAUUUGUUUGGCCU